CGGAGAAGGAGCAUGAGAGUGGUAGCCCGGAGAUGGGCACUGAGACAAGGGCCCAGGCCCUACGGGGCGCAGCAGGGGCGAAACCUCCACAAUGCACGCAAGUGCGAUGGGGUUACCUCGAGUGCCGUCUGAAGAAGGCGGCUUUUCCACGGUGUAAUGAGCCGUGGGAAUAAGGGGGGGGCAAGACUGGUGUCAGCCGCCGCGGUAACACCAGCCCCCCGAGUGGUGGGGAUGAUUAUUUGGCCUAAAGCGUCCGUAGCCGGCCCGGUAAAUCUCUCGUUAAAUCCAGCGUCCCAAGCGUUGGGCUGCGAGGGAGACUGCCGGGCUAGAGGGUGGGAGAGGUCAGCGGUAUUUCUGGGGUAGGGGCGAAAUCCAUUGAUCCCAGGAGGACCACCAGUGGCGAAGGCUGCUGACUAGAACACGCCUGACGGUGAGGGACGAAAGCUGGGGUAGCGAAUCGGAUUAGAUACCCGAGUAGUCCCAGCCGUAAACGAUGCAGGCUAGGUGUUGGGCCGGCCACGCGCCGGCUCAGUGCCACAGGGAAGCCAUUAAGCCUGCCGCCUGGGGAGUACGGCCGCAAGGCUGAAACUUAAAGGAAUUGGCGGGAGAGCACCACCAGGCGUGAAGCCUGCGGUUUAAUUGGAGUCAACGCCGGGAACCUUACCGGGAGCGACAGCAGAGUGAAGGCCAGGGUGAAGGUCUUGCCGGACGAGCUGAGAGGAGGUGCAUGGCCGUCGCCAGUUCGUGCCGUGAGGUGUCCUCUUAAGUGAGGUAAC
rnacentral:rRNA from 1 species